rnacentral:rRNA from 1 species
UACGUAGGGUGCAAGCGUUAAUCGGAAUUACUGGGCGUAAAGCGUGCGCAGGCGGUUCUAUAAGACAGAUGUGAAAUCCCCGGGCUCAACCUGGGAACUGCAUUUGUGACUGUAGAGCUGGAGUGCGGCAGGAGGGGGAUGGAAUUCCGCGUGUAGCAGUGAAAUGCGUAGAUAUCAGGAAGAACACCCGUGGCUAAGGCGGCUCUCUAGUACGGUACUGACGCUGAGGAGCGAAAGCGUGGGUAGCAAACAGG